UACGGGGGGGGCAAGCGUUGUUCGGAAUUACUGGGCGUAAAGGGCUCGUAGGCGGCCAUCUAAGUCCGACGUGAAAUCCCAAGGCUUAACCUUGGAACUGCGUCGGAUACUGGAUGGCUUGAAUUCGGGAGAGGGAUGCAGAAUUCCAGGUGUAGCGGUGAAAUGCGUAGAUAUCUGGAGGAAUACCGGUGGCGAAGGCGGCAUCCUGGACCGACAUUGACGCUGAUGAGCGAAAGCUAGGGGAGCAAACGGG
rnacentral:rRNA from 1 species